rnacentral:rRNA from 1 species
UACAGAGGUCUCGAGCGUUAGGCGGAAUCACUGGGCUUAAAGCGUGUGUAGGCGGAUCGUUAAGUGCCUUGUGAAAUCCCACGGCUCAACCGUGGAACUGCUUGGCAUACUGGCGGUCUUGAGCAACCUAGGGGCGAGCGGAACAAAUGGUGGAGCGGUGAAAUGCGUAGAUAUCAUUUGGAACGCCAAUGGUGAAAACAGCUCGCUGGGGGUUUGCUGACGCUGAGACACGAAAGCCAGGGGAGCAAACGGGG